CGGCCGGAGCAGCACUUCCAGCCCCGGCUGUCCCUGGAGUGGUGGGAGCUGCCGCUGGCCCCAGGCACUGUCCCCUGAGGAGCUGCUGAAGGACGCUGCAAGGAAGACCUUGAGGACAGCCGGAGACUGACGGGAGCCAGCAGGGAGAAGCGGAAGGGCAGCAGCAGGAGCAGGGAACGGGGACCUGCUGCUGCCAGCCUGGAGAGAGCCCGGAUGUCCCAUCUGCUGUCCCUGUCCAGGAGAGCUGCUCUGCACGGG